UUAAAACUAGAAUUGGGAACAUAAAGAACAGAGUCUAGAGUUACAGAAGAUAGGGGUUUGGCUUUUCCAACCCCUUUUGGUUUUGUUUGGAUUCUAUUGGCUAAAAUAAUAAAAGUUCAAGAGUACUAUACUAUAAAACACAAGCAAAACAUUUACCCCUAACAAAACAUCAUCUUGAACAACUGAAGCUACUUUGUGAGUUGUUUGCUUACUUGCUCGAUAUUGAAGAAACUCAUUAUAUUCUACUAGAGCAAUAUAAGCAUUAUAGGAAUGUCGAUCGGGUUGAGAAAUAGAGUCUACUUGUGUAGAUGUCUGCUUACUUGUGUGAUUCUGAAGGAACUCACUAUAUUCCUUUAAAGUAGUAUAUGAUCAUAAGUGGGUGUUGGACCGUGAAUAAUAUGACAUAUUUCAUGAGUAUUCCUUCUAUGACAAUAACUAUACUUGGAUCGAGAUUUGACAAUACGUCCUCAUCAUCAUCGAUUUUCGAUAAAUUGAUAUGUUCAUUUUUCUAUGGUUUGAGAUGCGAGAGGAUAUGAGUCAAUUGUGGAUGAUGAAACUACAUUAUGACUAGGAGGCGCGUCAAGACAAAGUAGGCGCGAGAAUAAUUCUUAAAUUGUAGGAAUGGUAGGACUACUUAAAAUAUAAUAACACAAUGAAACAUGAUCAAUAGGAAAUCCUGUAAGUAUAAGAAUGAAAAACAACGUCUUUCCGUGCUCUUAUCUUACAUGUUCCCAGUGACUCGCAUUAAUGUGUCAAAUUCCUCCAUGACUGCCUGUACUUGUCUCAAGUAAGUGGACAUAUCUAAUUCUUGUUUCUUUAAGUUGGUCAUAAGAGAUAACACAUCAUUAAAUCGAUUUAUGUCAUUAGUGUAUGAAGUGUGAGCAUUUUUUCAAACUGAAUUACAUGUUUGAAAUGGGCCGAAAGAAGGGCAUAAACUUGAAAUCAAUGAAAUAAGAGUGUAACACCCCGAAUUUGGAAAGGGGUGAUAUUGAAAAUUUCAGGAAGUUGCAUGUGCAAGAGCAGAUUGAACCACGGAGAGUAAGGUGGUCCAUGGAUUGGUAACCCCCAAAAUCUUUAGAGGCCAGAAAACACGUCCAGGCAAAUAGAUCAUCGCUUAGACCAUGGUCUGGGAGUUGGGGCUCUUGGUUCACUUGCCCAAAAACAAGUUUCUGAACACGAACAACUGUUGUGCAGGAGGGCCCAUCAUCCUGUCCAUGGUCAGUUAGUCGUGGCCAUGGUGGUCUAGAAAUUAUUUUUAGGGGUAGUUGGGUCUUUUCCUAAUCAUUUUAUCUUUAUACUAUGUUGUUUUACCCUUCACUGAGACCCCUAUAUAAGUUAUUUUAACCCCAAAACUUACUCAUUCACUUAAUUCUCUUUAAAUUCACAAAAAAAACUCUCCAAUAAUUCUCUCUCUAGAAAGCUUGAAGAAGAAAGAUUCAACCUUCGGUUUCAAGUCAAGUCUCAAUUCCUCCAUUGAAGAUUAGCAAUUGGCUUCAAGGUUUCUCAAUUUUGUGGCUAAUGGUUGAUUUUGAGGUUUUCGAGCUUCGGUGAGUCUUCAUGCUUCGUGGACGGAUUAUCAGCAUUUUAGUUUCUUUCUUAUAUUUUAAGUUAUGUACAUGAUGUAUGAUCUAGGCCCAAUUUAAUUCUAUUGUACUAGUUGGUUGUUGAGGCAAGUGUUUUAGACUUCUGCUUUACUUUUAUAAAACUAUUGGACUUGAAAUAUUGUUUUA